rnacentral:rRNA from 1 species
CGAAGCUACAAGGGCUUACGGUGGAUGCCUUGGUGCCAAGUGCCGAAGAAGGACGUGGGUCACUGCGAAAAGCUGCGGGUAGCCGUGAACAGGCGAAUGAGCCGCAGAUAUCCGAAUGGGGAAACCCGGUGGAGCGAACCUCCAUCAUCUACCGCUGAACACAUAGGCGGUAAGAAGGGAACCUGGGGAACUGAAACAUCUAAGUACCCAGAGGAAAAGAGAGAAUUCUCCGAGUAGUGGCGAGCGAAAGGGGAAAAGCCCAAACCGGUGUGGGAGACCGCACCGGGGUUGUAGGGUUCAGCAACAUGGAGUUACAAAAUUGAGGGUUAGAGGAAAGGUGUGGGAAAGCCUGCCAGAGAGGGUAAGAGCCCCGUAGUCGAAAACCCGAGAACUUCUGCUGAAAACCUGAGUACCGCCGGGCACGCUAAUCCGGCGGGAAGCUGGGGGGUCCACCCUCCAAGGCUAAAUACACUUGGCGACCGACAGUGAACAAGUACCGUGAGGGAAAGGUGAAAAGUACCCCGUUGAGGGGAGUGAAAUAGAACCUGAAACCGUAAGCCUACAAGCAGUUGGAGGGCUAAUGGCGUGUUGGUGCUCUGCAGAGAUGCAGGUGCGCAGCGCUAGGCCUGACAGCGUGCCUCUUGGAGAAUGAGCCUGCGAGUUAAUCUUUGUAGCGAGGUUAAGGGAGAGACACCCGAAGCCGUAGCGAAAGCGAGUCUGAAAAGGGCGACGAGUUGCAAGGAUUAGACACGAAACCGGGUGAGCUACCCAUGGCCAGGGUGAAACGUGUGUAAAAGCACGUGAAGGCCCGAACCUACUAAUGUUACAAAAUUAGGGGAUGAGCUGUGGGUAGAGGUGAUAUGCCAAACGAACUCGGAGAUAGCUUGUUCUCCCCGAAAUAGCUAUAGGGCUAGCGCCAUCUGUUAAACUACGGAGGUAGAGCACUGAAUGAGCUAAGGGGCUUAGAGCUUACUGAACUCAAUCAAACUCCGAAUGCCGUAGUUAUAGAGGAUGGUAGUCGGACUACGGGUGAUGAGAUUCGUGGUCAAAAGGGAAACAGCCCAGACCAUCGGCUAAGGUCCCCAAAUUCAAGCUAAGUGGGAAACGAUGUGGAGUUACUGAAACAACCAGGAGGUUGGCUUAGAAGCAGCCACCCUUUAAAGAGUGCGUAAUAGCUCACUGGUCUAGUGAUUCUGCGCGGAAAACUUAACGGGGCUAAGCUUGAUACCGAAGCCAUGGGAUUCUUCUUAGGAAGGAUCGGUAGGGGAGCGUUCCGCCAGCGGAGAAGGCAUACCGUGAGGAGUGCUGGAGUGGGCGGAAGUGAGAAUGCAGGCAUGAGUAGCGUAAAACACGUGAGAACCGUGUUCACCGAAAAUCUAAGGUUUCCGACGCCAGGUCAAUCCGCGUCGGGUUAGUCAGGUCCUUAGGCGAGGCCGAAAGGCGUAGCUGAUGGCAACCCGGUCAACAUUCCGGGACCACUUGAUUGGAGCGAAGAGGGGACGCAGGGAGGCAGGCCGGCCCGCGAUUGGUGGUGCGGGUGCAUGGUACGGCAGGCGAUGAGACCGGUAGGCAAAUCCGCCGGUUGAGCUGAGGUACCGUGGCGAGCCCCAGAGGCAUAAGCGAGUUGAGCCUCACUGCCGAGAAAAGCCUCUAAGUGAUGAAGAUCGAGUGCCUGUACCGCAAACCGACACCGGUAGAUGGGUAGAGAAUACCAAGGUGAACGGGAGAACCUUCGUUAAGGAACUAGGCAACAUAGCCCCGUAACUUCGGGAGAAGGGGUGCCUUCCCUUGUGAUGAAAAGAGCGAGGGGAGGUCGCAGCGAAGCGGCUCUAGUGACUGGUUAACAAAACCACAGGUCUCUGCGAAGUCGAAAGACGACGUAUAGGGGCUGACGCCUGCCCAGUGCCGGAAGGUUAAAGGGAGAGGUUAGCGCAAGCGAAGCUUUGAACUGAAGCCCCGGUGAACGGCGGCCGUAACUAUAACGGUCCUAAGGUAGCGAAAUUCCUUGUCGGGUAAGUUCCGACCUGCACGAAUGGCGUAACGAUCUGGGAACUGUCUCCAGCAGAGACUCAGCGAACUUGUAGCACCGGUGAAGAUGCCGGUUACCCGCACUUAGACGGAAAGACCCCGUGCACCUUUACUACACCUUGACAUUGAGGUUGGCGUUGGACUGUGCAGGAUAGGUGGGAGGCUAUGAAACUGGCUCGUUAGGGUCGGUGGAGCCAUCGUUGAGAUACCACCCUGUUUAACGCUGAUCUCUAACUCGCACCCGUGAUCCGGGUGGAAGACAAUGUCAGGCGGGUAGUUUGACUGGGGCGGUCGCCUCCUAAAGCGUAACGGAGGCGCGCGAAGGUUCCCUCAGGCUGAUUGGAAACCAGCCGUAGAGUG